AAUACGACUCUCGGCAACGGAUAUCUCGGCUCUCGCAUCGAUGAAGAACGUAACGAAAUGCGAUACUUGGUGUGAAUUGCAGAAUCCCGUGAACCAUCGAGUCUUUGAACGCAAGUUGCGCCCCAAGCCGUUAGGCCGAGGGCACGUCUGCCUGGGUGUCACGC
rnacentral:rRNA from 1 species